rnacentral:rRNA from 1 species
AUUGAACGCUGGCGGCAGGCCUAACACAUGCAAGUCGAGCGGAUGAAGGGAGCUUGCUCCUUGAUUCAGCGGCGGACGGGUGAGUAAUGCCUAGGAAUCUGCCUGGUUGUGGGGGAUAACGUCCGGAAACGGGCGCUAAUACCGCAUAAGCCCUGAGGGAGUACGGGGGGGAUCAUCGGACCUCACGCUAUCAGAUGAGCCUAGGUCGGAUUAGCUAGUUGGUGGGGUAAAGGCCUACCAAGGCGACGAUCCGUAGCUGGUCUGAGAGGAUGAUCAGCCACACUGGAACUGAGACACGGUCCAGACUCCUACGGGAGGCAGCAGUGGGGAAUAUUGGACAAUGGGCGGAAGCCUGAUCCAGCCAUGCCGCGUGUGUGAAGAAGGUCUUCGGAUUGUAAAGCACUUUAAUUUGGGAGGAAAAGCAGUAAGUUAAUACCUUGCUGUUUUGACGUUACCAACAGAAUAAGCACCGGCUAACUUCGUG